AAGCCGCCACAGUAUGACAACUAACAGAUGCGUGGUGGCAGCUUCAGACAUUUGGUGUAUGUGCUUGUUUGAGGAGCCAGUGGGGCAAAGUUACCAUCUGUGAAAUUAUGACUGAACACCUCUAAAUCAGAAUCCC
rnacentral:ncRNA from 1 species